rnacentral:rRNA from 1 species
ACGGAAGGCAGCAGUGGGGAAUAUUGCACAAUGGGGGAAACCCUGAUGCAGCGACGCCGCGUGAGUGAAGAAGUUAUUCGUAAUGUAAAGCUCUAUCAGCAGGGAAGAAAAUGACGGUACCUGACUAAGAAGCACCGGCUAAAUACGUGCCAGCAGCCGCGGUAAUACGUAUGGUGCAAGCGUUAUCCGGAUUUACUGGGUGUAAAGGGAGCGUAGGUGGUCUGGCAAGCCAGAAGUGAAAACCCGGGGCUCAACCCCGAGGAUUGCUUUUGGAACUGUUGGACUAGAGUGCAGGAGGGGUAAGUGGAAUUCCCAGUGUAGCGGUGAAAUGCUUAGAUAUUGGGAGGAACACCAGUGGCGAAGGCGGCUUACUGGACUGUAACGGACACUGAGGCUCGAAAGCGUGGGGAGCAAACAGGAUUAGAUACCCUGGUA